CAUUGAAAGACCGGUUCCCGUACGAUCACUGAAGUUAAGCAAUGUUGAGCCUCGUCAAUACCUAGAUGGGUGACCGCUUGCGAUGACCUGGUGCUGUAA
rnacentral:rRNA from 1 species